UGGGGAAUUUUGGACAAUGGGGGAAACCCUGAUCAAGCCAUCCCGCGUGUGCGAUGAAGGCCUUCGGGUUGUAAAGCACUUUUGGCAGGAAAGAAACGUCAUGGGUUAAUACCCCGUGAAACUGACGGUACCUGCAGAAUAAGCGCCGGCUAACUACGUGCCAGCAGCCGCGGUAAUACGUAGGGUGCAAGCGUUAAUCGGAAUUACUGGGCGUAAAGCGUGCGCAGGCGGUUCGGAAAGAAAGAUGUGAAAUCCCAGAGCUCAACUUUGGAACUGCAUUUUUAACUACCGGGCUAGAGUGUGUCAGAGGGAGGUGGAAUUCCGCGUGUAGCAGUGAAAUGCGUAGAUAUGCGGAGGAACACCGAUGGCGAAGGCAGCCUCCUGGGAUAACACUGACGCUCAUGCACGAAAGCGUGGGGAGCAAACAGG
rnacentral:rRNA from 1 species